AUGGAAGAAAGUCUGACUUUUUCUUUCCCAAAUAUUUUAAAAGAUGUUGGAAGCUCCAUAUGCUGCCUGGAGGCUGUUGUUUCUAGAGACACAAGUAUCCAGCCUAUAUUGUUACAAUGCUUUUUCCAGGACUGGCUUCUUCUUUGCCUCCACGAAUGGAGCAUUAUAGGUCUUCCUAUAAUUUUAUAAAGUUUCUCAGAGAACAGAUGAUAAAUAUCAACCCAUGGCUACACUGAAGCAGCAUUUUCUUCCAGUACAGAAAAAUCACCUGACUCUAAAAUUUGUGUUUGUGCACACACACGAGUGCUUGAGCUAUAUGGUAGGUCCUUCUUUAUUUAUUUUAUAUAUAGUAGUAUGUAUUAUGUCACUCCCCAAUUUCUAAUGUAUCCCUUCCCCUCACCUUUUCCCUUUGGUAAGUUUGUUUUCUAUGUGUGAACCUGUUUCUGUUUUGUAAAUAAGUUCAUUUGUAUCUUUUUUUUAAGAUUCCACAUAUAAGUGGUAUCCUGUAUUAGUCCUUCUCUGACUUACUUUACUCAGUAUGAUCAUCUCUAGGUCCAUCCAUGUUGCUGCAGAUGGCAUUAGUGUGUUCCUUUUUUAUGGCUGAGCAAUAUUCCAUCGUGUAUAUGUACCACAUCUUCCUUAUCCGUUCCUGUCUGUGGAUGUUUAGGUUGAUUCUUGGCUAUUGCGAAUAGUGUUACAAUGAACAUUGGGGUGCCAUGUGUCUUUUUGAAUUGGAAUCUUGUUCGGAUAUAUGCCCAGGAGUGGGAUUGCUGUAUCAUUGGGUUGGCUCUAAAAUUUUGACGUAGGUCUUGCUUUAAUUUUUUUCCUGAAGGUUACGGUGUCCGAUAAUAAUUAUUUCCUUUGCUUCAGUGACAAUAAGAGAGUGACUAUGGGUCGAUAAAAUGCAAGAUUAAAAAAGAAACAAAACACUAAACCCUACUUUGGAGCAGCUAGGACGCCUGCUUAUACUGAGCCCAGUGAU
rnacentral:lncRNA from 1 species